rnacentral:tRNA from 1 species
AACAUGGCUCAGUCGGUAGAGCAGCGGUUUCGUAAACCGCAGGUCGAGGGUUCGAGUCCCUCUGUUG